UCAUGUUGUUGAGCCAGCGUGGUCUGCGUGGCGUCGUUGUACGCGUUUCAGAUUUCCAGACUGCAACGAGCUUAUGUGGAAAGACACCGGGACCAAGGGAAACGAUGUGGCCUCCGUUGAUUUCCAGACUGCAACGUACUUAUGAGGAAAGGCAUCGGGAUCGAGGGAAAUGAUUCAGCCUCCGUUGGGUGCUUAGGGUGAACCUUAGGCAGGCAACUGUUUUGCUACAGCGAAUAAAAAAAAAACAUUGCAGGUUGGAUGACAUAUGUCAUGAGAAGGGUCUUGGAAAACGGAAUGCAGAUAACGGAAAAACUCAUAGACGUUCAGUUCAUCAUUCGUACAGCGAGGUUGAAGAUACAGGCAGUUCGUUAGCUCGUUGCUUGAGCUUUAUAACAUAUGUACGCAUGCAUAUGUCCACAUUGUUUCAUUGCUUGCUAUGAGGCUGUGCUUUGAAAAUGUUUCAAAAGAUUCGUUUGCUCCGCCUUUUGUGUGGGCGGAAGCAGUUUUCGUUUUUCGUUGGAAGCUCGCAGGUCCCCGUGGAUGCUGCUGGUGCUCCAAAUGACAUACGGAGAUAACUCGAGGGCACAAGGUUGAAGAGACUGACGCGGGAAUCGAGCAUAAUGUCUUAUUGUUAACAUAUUUCCUGAGCUGCCUUAUGGAACAUAUCGUGCGUCUCCGAUCACUAUAUCUAAAGGUGUUCCCGGCAAUCCGUGUGUCUGCUGGCGUUUCGUGUGGACGAGGCUGCUACUAAUCCACAGUGAAGAGUCACAGUGCACCGCCUCUGCCGAACUCUUAUGUGUGACAACGGAGUUUGCGUUCCGUGCAAGACUCUAUCGACACCGAACUUCACGUUGUGAUAUUGAUAACUGAACAGGAAAAAAGUGCCUGUCGUGUGCGCAUGUGUUUUUUGUUCCUGCUCAUCCGCCCGUGUUCCCGCUCCAACCGUUCGAACGCAGUAGUCUUGGGUAACCACUGUAAAGUAUGUUUGAAAUAAGUCUACAUUCGUUUUGAAUGUGGCAGUAUUUGUGGGAAUCCCAUGCACAGAUAACGUCAUACUGGAAAAUGAAGUGAAUUUGGUUUGAACAUUGUUGCCAGCCGGGCGGGGAAGCCUUACGUGGUAGAUGGGGUAAGGUGGUACAUAGCAUGGGAGAGCGUGUGAAAGGUCCAUAUCAUUUCAAACAGCUCCUUGCCAGCCCUUUCCCCAGAAAUCGACAUAUUUCCAGGGUUGUUCGCAUAUAUUAUUUUGCCGUGACAGUCGGCAGUGGACCCGCAAAUAUACACGGGGAGGAUCAACCGGAAAAUCUCCUCUUCGGCUCACGUGACUAUUACGUGACGUUUGUCAACGUUCCUCUCCGACACCUACUGUUCAAGUGCUCUCUACAACGGGACGCAAAGAGUUCAGCAUUUUCACAUUCGCGUCGUAUCUCCGCAGCUCACUAGCGAACCACCCUCGGCGCGCACCAAAACAGAACCACGUGGGCAGCAUAAACGACCAAAGCUGGGCUUGGAGUGGGGCCGACGAGAUCGCGCGGUGUCCCCACUGGUGCCCUUACUGGCACCCACUCCUGCGCUAUCUAUUGCACACGGAGAUACCGGCACACCCAAGGUCAUCGGAGCUACAGCGCAUCCGCAUAAGCAGUUAUGAAAAAGGUCCAUUCUGCACCAGGGGAGAAGUCACUCGCCAAGGCCGCGCCCACAUUUCCCCACUCUGCCCUCAUGCAUGCCGCUUUCUGCUCGCGAAUUUCAAAGCAUGUGGAUUCCAGUGAUUUAUAAUGCCGGUAAUAAACUAUAGAGCUCGAAGAGUUGACGGAAAGUACAGGAGGGAUUCGGUAAAUCAGGGGCUACACCACCGGUGGAAACAUAUAGCUACGCAUUGAUGCUUGCUUGGAGAGCAAACCAUCCGUUUAAAGGGGCUCUGACCAGAAGUUGAGGGGGCUCUGUCGUACUUGCAGUCGAUAAAGCACCCUCCAUGCGAAAAUUCACGCAUUAAAACCCCACGGUUUCUCUAAACUCGAAUUUUAAACAUUCGACUUCCUCAGAGUGCAGCGCGCCUAUGCGUCAAACCGAGAGAACAUACGUUUACAUAGGAUAUCCACCCCAGCGAACCAUCAAAAUCACGUAAACAUGAGGGCCACUGGCAACACCCACAAUUGGCUCAAACGCAUCACGUGGUCACGCAAUACCCUGUCAAUUCCCUUUAUGAAAUAGCGUUUAUGUGUUAACAUGUUUUUGUUACGGAGUCUCAAAAGGAAAAAUAUACCCUUCAUUUAACACGUGCAGUAGGUUCUACGAUUGCCUUUUCAAUGUGCGUUCUGUUGUCUUGCGUUCCAUAUUGUUCCGUAUCUGGUCAACUGUAAUGGCUGCCAUAUGACGAGCUUGCGAACUUGUGUAAUUCCCGGCUCAUCCUGCCUUUUUCUGGUCAUUGGGUUGGUGUUGGAGUUGUUCGCCAUAUUCUGAACGUUUCACCUAUCAUUGCGGCGUACUGUUCUUGACCUGCUGCGAAGCAAAGAACCAAAGCAAAGAAGGCAGUCACUCGCCUCAGCGAAAUUCUGUCUGCCGCAUAUCAAAGGAGCCUCGGGACCUGAUGAUGUACUGCAAAUGCUGAAAUUGAAUUCUUUGAACCUUCAUCUAAAGAAACCAAGUGUGCUCUCGUGUGGUUCUGACGAAAAAGCAGUUUCAACGAGGUUAGCACAUUUCUUUUUGAGUUCCAAGUCUACGCACUCAAAACCAUGCAAGUGCAUCCGAUCAUUCUCGUAGCUGUUCUGUAACACGUAUGCUUUCUUACGUAUCCCACAGAGCCCUCCGCUUCAUGAACCCAGUUAUAUUUUAUAUGAUCCUUCUGAUGGCCCCUUUAGGCUAUGCCGCUCUGAAGCAUUGAGAUGACGAAAGUUCGUGGGGGCUGCACCUCUGCUUUCGAAAGAUGAACCAGUCAUUCCACACUGUGCUUACUGGCUUUGUAUUGAGUGUGACAAAUCCGACAGACCUGGACUGCCUUUUUCAAGGAAGUUCGAAAUGCAAGACAUCCCUUAUGCACCUGCAUUUCAAUUAAGAUCUGUGUUACAAGAAUGACAGACCACUCAACAGCGAUGAACAUUUGAAGUCGGAAGUGCUGGAACGAAGAUGCGUUAAUCUGUGUGAAAGGUGCUUUGUACGUGUCUGAGUCGAGGGCAUAGGUCACAAGCUAAUUUCUGUCUUCAGAAGAGGUGUCAACUAUGCUCCUUCUAUCUACUAACCAGCUCCACUUUUUAGGGUUCCCUGUAAACUAAUGGAGCGCAUCAUAUACCAACACGUUAUUAACCAUGUUGAGUCUAUCAAUUAUUUUUUUAAAAUUCCAGCAUGACUUUAGAAAAGGGUAUUUAGGCAAAACAAACAUAAUUCGAUCACAGCAUUUUAAACUGUCUUGAUUUCUCGGUCCACGUAGAUGCAGUAUUUUUUUUAUUUUGUAAGGGCUUUUCACACUGUGCUUUAUGCUCACUUGUUGGCCACACUAGCCUCAUUAAAAUUUGAUCCUGCUACCAUUAACUGGAUAUGCAGUUUCUUGACUAACCCAAACCGUGCCAACAAUUCGUGAGUAGAACCUAUUAUUUCAACACCAUGCAGCGUUUGCCACGUUACAUUUGCAUCACAUUU